rnacentral:tRNA from 1 species
GCAGGUGUGGCGGAAUUGGCAGACGCGCUAGCUUCAGGUGCUAGUGAUCGCAUGAGUCGUGUGGGUUCAAGUCCCGUCACCUGCACCA